AACGAACGCUGGCGGCAGGCUUAACACAUGCAAGUCGAACGGGCAUAGCAAUAUGUCAGUGGCAGACGGGUGAGUAACACGUGGGAACCUUCCUAGAGGUACGGAACAACGCAGGGAAACUUGUGCUAAUACCGUAUACGCUCGAGAGAGGAAAGAUUUAUCGCCUUUAGACGGGCCCGCGUAGGAUUAGGUAGUUGGUGAGGUAACGGCUCACCAAGCCUACGAUCCUUAGCUGACCUGAGAGGAUGAUCAGCAACACUGGGACUGAGACACGGCCCAGGCUCCUACGUGAGGCAGCAGUGGGGAAUCUUGGACAAUGGGCGCAAGCCUGAUCCAGCCAUGCCGCGUGAGUGAAGAAGGCCUUCGGGUUGUAAGGCUCUCUUACCAGGGACGAUAAUGACGGUACCUGGAGAAUAAGCCCCGGCUAACUUCGUGCCAGCCGCCGCCGUAA
rnacentral:rRNA from 1 species